CCUGGGUUAUUUAGCCCAGGCUAAAUCUAACCCACGGUUUAAACCUCGCUCGGUAUUCACAAAGCGUGGGUUAGAUAACCCAUGGUCUAAAUCUAACCCACGGUUUAACCCACGGUUUAAGCAUGCCUAAGAAUAAGAGACAAAAAAAUAAACUGAGCAUGCGCAGAAUUGAAGCAUUGAACUGAGCAUGCGCGCUCAGUACACUUUUGGUUACUCCACCUAGUUCACCGUCGUCUGCUAAGUCCAGAUUCAGUUGUUCAGUCUCGUACCUGUAUUUGUGUUAUUUCUCUUCGCCUACAAGUAGAGACUGAAAACCAACCGAUUCCAAGUUGAGAUAAGACUUUACACCACUAUUCACAUACUAAAACGUGUUCUCUAACAGAUGUCCUCAAAAUAUUUCCGCAUUUCGCUUAAAUUACCUCAUUAAUUCCUCACUAUCGUUGUUAAUUUAUGGCCUAUCAAUCGUCCGACAAAAUUAUGAUCAGCUGGGCAGCCGCACCAGAGCGCAUUGUUGCUCACAACACUAAACAUUGACAGGAGACUUUUCGUGGAAGAGUCCACAAAAACAUUCUGUAAACGAAUACCACUUUAAAAAACAAGGAGUGAACAUUUUCUAUGAUGUAGUGUUAAUUUUAGAGCUAUAUGAUCACAUUUUCGUUGAUUGUUAUGAUGAUUUUAGAGCGUACUAAGGUCACACUUUAGUUUAUCAAUCCAAAGUAAGACUUGGUUAUCUAUAGCGUAGAGGCAGAGAAAGCGAUCGAUGACGUUUUAACGGUUUUAUUCCAGAAUGUGUUGAUGAUGUAGAAAGAAAGAUAAAUACUAUCUGAUGGAAAAUACUGGCAUUAAUGCAUAAACUGCAUAGAUGUCUUGAAAAAAAAA